GAGGGGCUAGGUGAUCUAGAGGAGCUGGUGCACUAUUAGCCUGAGUAUAGGAACAAACAUCUUUAUUUCUCUAUCUAGCAUGUGGGCACUCUUUGAUUCUAUGACCCACUUGACCACAACCAUAACAACCUUUCUAACCCCAUAAAUAUUGACCUCCAUGAUUCUUCCCACACUUAGUACAUUGGGGAUAAUUGGUCUUUCCACUCGUACUAUUCUGAGAUCUGGUUAGAGAAGACUUACC
rnacentral:lncRNA from 1 species